GUUUGUUUCAUUGGACUUCUCUUUCCUAUCCAUAAGAAUUUCUCCCCAUCUCUUUUCACAAAACCAUUCAUAUGAACUCCAUAUACCUUAAUUCCAAAAUAAGGAGCGGCAGCACGUUCAAGAGAAAAAUAGGGGGGCGAUCCGAACGAAGGUGUGACAGGGUACAACUGAUUGAAAAUCAACGAGUAAACAGCCAAUACAGCAAGAAA